AUUGAACGCUGGCGGAAUGCUUUACACAUGCAAGUCGAACGGCAGCACGGGGGCAACCCUGGUGGCGAGUGGCGAACGGGUGAGUAAUACAUCGGAACGUGCCCAGUCGUGGGGGAUAACGUAGCGAAAGCUACGCUAAUACCGCAUACGAUCUACGGAUGAAAGCGGGGGAUCGCAAGCCCUCGCGCGAUUGGAGCGGACGAUGGCAGAUUAGGUAGUUGGUGGGGUAAAGGCUCACCAAGCCGACGAUCUGUAGCUGGUCUGAGAGGACGACCAGCCACACUGGGACUGAGACACGGCCCAGACUCCUACGGGAGGCAGCAGUGGGGAAUUUUGGACAAUGGGCGCAAGCCUGAUCCAGCCAUUCCGCGUGCAGGAUGAAGGCCCUCGGGUUGUAAACUGCUUUUGUACGGAACGAAACGGCUCUCUCUAAUACAGGGGGCUAAUGACGGUACCGUAAGAAUAAGCACCGGCUAACUACGUGCCAGCCGCCGCCGUAA
rnacentral:rRNA from 1 species